AACGAACGCUGGCGCCAGGCUUAACACAUGCAAGUCGAACGAGACCUUCGGAUCUAGUGGCAGACGGGUGAGGAACACGUGGGCACAUCCCUUUCAGUUCGGAAUAACGUUGGGCCACUACCGCUAAUACCGCAUCCGGCCUUCGGGAGAAAGAUUUAUCGCUGAAAGAUUGGCCCGCGUCUGAUUAGCUAGUUGGUGAGGUAACGGCUCACCAAGGCUACGAACAGUAGCUGAUCUGAGAGGAUGAUCAGCCACAUUGGGACUGAGACACGGCCCAAACUCCUACGGGAGGCAGGAGUGGGGAAUAUUGGACAAUGGGCGCAAGCCUGAUCCAGCCAUGCCGCGUGAGUGAUGACGGCCUUCGGGUUGUAAAGCUCUUUUGUCCGGGAAGAUAAUGACUGUACCGGAAGAAUAAGCCCCGGCAAACUUCGUGCCAGCAGCCGCGGUAA
rnacentral:rRNA from 1 species